CAGCCGCCGCGGUAAUACCGGCGGCCCGAGUGGCGGUCACUAUUAUUGGGGUUAAAGCGUCCGUAGCCGGGUUGGGAAGUCCUCCGGGAAAUCUGGCCGCUUAACGGUCAGAAUGCCGGAGGAUACUCCCAGCCUAGGGGGCGGGAGAGGCCGAGGGGAUUCCCGGAGUAGGGGUGGAAUCCUAUAAUCCCGGGAGGGCCACCUGUUGCGAAGGCGCUCGGCUGGAACGCGUCCGACGGUGAGGGACGAAGGCCAGGGGAGCAAACCAGAUUAGAUACCCGGGUAGUCCUGGCUGUAAACGAUGCGGACUUUGUGUCGGACAAGCUAUGAGCUUGUCCGGUGCCGGAGGGAAACCGUUAAGUCCGCCGCCUGGGGAGUACGGCCGCAAGGCUGAAACUUAAAGGAAUUGGCGGG
rnacentral:rRNA from 1 species